GGGAGAUCCAGACGGCCGUGCGCCUGCUGCUGCCCGGGGAGCUGGCCAAGCACGCCGUGUCGGAGGGCACCAAGGCCGUCACCAAGUACACCAGCGCUAAGUAAACUUGCCAAGGAGGGACCUUUUCUGGAAUUUCCUGAUCUGAUCAAGAAAGCUUCUUACCAAAAA